GCCCCCCCCCCCCCCCCACCCCCCCCUCUGCUUUCGGCCGAAGGAUUCGUCGUCCCUGUCAACCUUGCCCACGCGGAGAUGGCGCUUCACGCCGGCAUGCAGGGGCCUGACCAAGGUAGCUUUUGAGCAAAUGCUGAAGUCAUUAACCUGACAUUGUUCCAUUGAAUUCUGAAAUGUCACGAAUAUCUUAAAUUAGUGCAGAGGUACUAAGGUUAUUUGUUUAGUUCUUAUGUGGUUAUAAUGCACUUUUUUAAAAAUCUCUACAUGCUCGACGUCUGGAGGAUCUGAGUCCCCCCUCGCAAUUUUCAGGCGUAUGACGACCUGGACAUAAGGAAGCGCUUGAUGGCUACCUAGGGAAGUCAUCGACGUCCACAUCUAGCGCCGUAAGCAUGAAAUGGACCUCUCCAUGAAGCACCAGUACGUCCCCUAGGACCUCCAGGAAGUUGUAAAAGCUAAGGUGAAAAGCAAUAUCAAUAAGCAUGUGCAACCUGGGAGGGAAGCACAAACCACCUUGAGAAAAGAGAGUGUUCACCAUGCAAGGCAGCCAAUGCCUGGUGAGGAACAGGAGGACAUUGUCAUGACUAGCACCCAGCUGAGCAUCUUAAUAUAAGCAUCUCAUGUCCAAUAACUGGGAAGCCAGUUAUUGAGUUGGCAGAUCCAUUUCGUUGGUUAUAUAAUUUUAUUUGUAUCCAUUUGAACAUUCUACAAUCAAAAGUUGAGUGACAUACUAUUCAGCCUGAUAAAAAUUGAUUGAUGCGCACCCCAAAUGCCAUUGCCCUCCUGGUGAAUUCGAGUCAUUUUCCCAGUAACUGAAUGCUUGUAGGAGGUCAAACACCCCUUCUGCUCCGAACGACUGUUGUGAUGCAUGUCAUAGUGGCAUGAAGUCAAUUUUGUGCACUUUUCUGAUUGACUAGGAUCAUGUCAAGGUAAUCAAAGAUAGGAGGGAGUACAUUUUUUAUUAAUUGUUAACAUGUGUUCUUCCUAUCACUGCAGCUAUGAUGACGGUGAGCCAACUGACAAUACGACGAUGUUUUAUAUAUAAAUGGUUCUAAGAGGGGAAUGAGAGAGGUGAGUGGUUGUUGGAUUUGGGGUGUUUGGCCUUGGAAAUAGACAGUGCGAACAAGGUUUGUUCCUCUUUUGUCACUUUGUUUCCACCAAAGGUUGUAAAGAUGGUUGAUGAGCUCCUUGCAGGAACUAGAAAACUAAAUUAGAGUGGCACUAAAUUUCUUUUAGAAUGCAUAUUAAGUGUUGUGCCUUAUCUCAUUUACAUAUGUGCACACUCAUUUGCAUUGUGUUUACAUUGCAUUUUUUAUUAGUGUUAUUUGGCAAUAAUGCUCAAAUGCUUAAAUCAGUUGACUGGUAUCUGCCUGAAUCAAACUUUCAAACUUUAUAUAAAUAAGCCAAACCUAUCCUUAUAUUUUCAGAAAGGACUGAGCAACGACUGUGAACAACAUCAAUUUUUCAGCGAUUCUGCACCAUGUAUCCUUAUUAUGCUAUUCUGGAUCAUCCUUGUCGUAAUCACCAAGAGGUUCGUGCUUAUUAAGAUUGAUUGAUUUUGUGCUGGGCAGGAAGGCAUCCCGAAGGGGGUCGAGCUGCGGUGGCACUGCGAUGAGAUGGUCAGCAAGCUCGACCUCUUCUCCCCAACAAGAACUGAAAUUUCGAUUUGCAGUUUUUAUGAGCUGAAGAAUGGACGCAGAUAAGAAAAAAAUGAUUUAAGCCAUUAUUUCUUACUGACUUCAAUCCAAAAAAGUUUUGUUUUGAUAAAAAGAAAGUCAGCACUGCAUACAAAUUAGUACAUGUUUGGAAACAACUAAUUUGUGUUGAUUUCUAUCAGACAUUGACAUUACAGGUGCACUGGAUAUAUUUGAAAGAUAAGUCACCGUUGUUUAUCCAUGCUGCUACCUUGGCCUUCUGUGGUCUGAGCCCCUUCGCACAUUUAUUCCAGGGGUAUUCCUUUUUACUGUGCAACUUUCUUUGUUACAUGAUAGAUUAAAUCUCUUUAUGUCACAGACAUGCCAGUAAUUCAGCAAACCUUCAUGAAAUGGCUUACCUUUUGAUGGUAACAAGGAGUAUCCAGAGCCGAGUCUCUGCAAAGAAUUAGAGUUCUGUUUGGAUAGAAAAGCGAUAAUACUGCUUAUCUUUUGCUAAUAGUAAAGUGAUGAUAUGCUUCCUUCUGUCAGGUUAACUCUUCCGUCCAUUAGUAAUGGUGUUGUCCACUUGUUAGGUUUAAUUUUUGCAAAUGGAGCCCUCCUACAUGAUCUGGUGCAUGCACUCUGUUUAAAAACCUAUCCAACUGACCAACUCCAUCACAAGUAGUAUUUAUCAUGUUGAUAGAACAAAUUGAGAUUGCAGGUAGGAUGUGUUUUUCUUCAGGUAAUUAUGAGGUAUCCUGUAAGAUUCCACAGGAAAAUGCAAUUGUUCUUUAGCAUAAUUAGGAAAGUCUCUAGGCUUUUGCGAGAUUAGUGUGGUCAAACAUAUAUGACAGAGAACUAUCAAAACACACAUGUAAUGUUGCAUUGAAACACACUUAUCAAUUGUAUUGCAAAAGCUACUUGUAUUUCUGAAGUUAUUUACAAACCAUAAAUACUUGUGAAAUUAUUCUGAAUAUGCAGAUGCUAUUAACUGUCACAGGAGAGAAUAUUUGAUGCAAUUGUAAUUAGAUCCUGAAAUCUGACGGGUACAUAUAAGUGAGAUAAUGUGCAUGGAAUCUUCUUAUAGUGAACCAUGUCUUUCUAGGUCUACUGUUUGAUUCGUCAUACUGCUAUACGAUUCCAGAACCUUUUUCUAGGCGUGAGAACAUUAAGUAAUUAGCUGUGUUCCAAUUCAUGUAUCCAAUUGAAGAUAUUACUUUAUCUGUUUAUAUAUAGAUGAUCCCUGUGGUAUGGAUUUACAUGUAAUUAUUUUACUUUAUUAGUGUUUCUUGGUCAGACUUAUUGUAUCCUGUUACUGCAGUGAGCAACAUGCCACAAGUGCCUGAUAUAACUAUAUCAGA